AGAGUUUGAUCAUGGCUCAGAUUGAACGCUGGCGGUAGGCUUAACACAUGCAAGUCGUGCGAGAAAGUACCUUCGGGUGCGAGUAGAGCGGCGGACGGGUGAGUAACGCGUAGGAAUCUACCUAGUAGAAGGGGAUAGCCCGGGGAAACUCGGAUUAAUACCGUAUACCUCCUUAGGGAGAAAGAGGGCUUAGCUUUGAUGCUCUCGCUAUUAGAUGAGCCUGCGUAAGAUUAGCUUGUUGGUGAGGUAAUGGCUCACCAAGGCGACGAUCUUUAGCUGGUCUGAGAGGACGAUCAGCCACACUGGGACUGAGACACGGCCCAGACUCCUACGGGAGGCAGCAGUGGGGAAUCUUGGACAAUGGGCGAAAGCCUGAUCCAGCAAUGCCGCGUGUGCGAUGAAGGCUUUCGGGUUGUAAAGCACUUUUGUCAGGGAAGAAAUGGUUCGGGCUAAUACCUCGGACUUCUGACGGUACCUGAAGAAUAAGCACCGGCUAACUACGUGCCAGCAGCCGCGGUAAUACGUAGGGUGCAAGCGUUAAUCGGAAUUACUGGGCGUAAAGCGUGCGCAGGCGGUUUACUAAGACAGGUGUGAAAUCCCCGGGCUUAACCUGGGAACUGCAUCUGUGACUAGUAGACUAGAGUUUGGCAGAGGGGGGUGGAAUUCCUGGUGUAGCAGUGAAAUGCGUAGAUAUCAGGAGGAACACCGAUGGCGAAGGCAGCCCCCUGGGCCACCACUGACGCUCAUGCACGAAAGCGUGGGGAGCAAACAGGAUUAGAUACCCUGGUAGUCCACGCCCUAAACGAUGUCAACUAGUUGUUGGAUCUUUUCUGAUUUGGUAACGAAGCUAACGCGUGAAGUUGACCGCCUGGGGAGUACGGCCGCAAGGUUAAAACUCAAAGGAAUUGACGGGGACCCGCACAAGCGGUGGAUGAUGUGGAUUAAUUCGAUGCAACGCGAAAAACCUUACCUACCCUUGACAUGUCAGGAAUUUUGCAGAGAUGCGAAAGUGCUCGAAAGAGAACCUGAACA
rnacentral:rRNA from 1 species